CUUCAUCUGUCAAAACCUUUUUAAAAGGUUUUUGUAUGUCUCGAAGACCCUCGCACAGCACUUUGAUUAAGAAAUCAUUGUUUUGAAUAGAAACUCAAAUAUUUUUUGGAAAUGGUGCUAAAGAGUUCCUUUUAAUUUUGAUUCUAACAAAAGAUAUAUCUUCACCUCUCAUAACAUUCCAAUCAGUGCUUACAAAAUCUCGAUACAUAUUACCUAGUCUUUUUAUACACAUUGAUAUUCCAAAUAUGCGUAGGAACACUAUAAAAUCUCACCCCACAAAAAUCUAGGAACACCA
rnacentral:lncRNA from 1 species